rnacentral:rRNA from 1 species
UACCGAGGUCCCAAGCGUUGUUCGGAUUCACUGGGCGUAAAGGGUGCGUAGGUGGUUUGAUAAGUCUGAUGUGAAAUCCCGCAGCUUAACUGCGGAACUGCAUUGGAAACUAUUUGACUAGAGGAAUGGAGGGGAGACUGGAAUUCCUGGUGUAGCGGUGAAAUGCGCAGAUAUCAGGAGGAACACCGGUGGCGAAGGCGGGUCUCUGGGCCGUAACUGACGCUGAGGAGCGAAAGCGUGGGGAGCGAACAGG